rnacentral:sRNA from 1 species
CGCCUAAACUCACGGUUACGUCCGUGGGCAUGGCAUAAAAACUAUUUGCACAUAGAGAUGGUCAUCCGUCUUGCUUCUGUGCAAAUAGUUACUGCCCGAAAGGGUAGUAGGUAGCUUCCGCAAGGGACUACC